rnacentral:tRNA from 1 species
GAGCCAUUAGUCAGUUGGUAGGCAGUGACUUUUAAUCAGAGGGUCGGAAGGUUCGAGUCCUUCAGGCUCACCA